CGACGGGGGGUGCUAGCGUUGUUCGGAAUUACUGGGCGUAAAGGGCGCGUAGGCGGCUCUGCGAGUCGGGCGUGAAAUCCCGGGGCUCAACCCCGGAACGGCGCUCGAUACUGCGGGGCUGGAGACCGGAAGAGGAGGGUGGAAUUCCCAGUGUAGAGGUGAAAUUCGUAGAUAUUGGGAGGAACACCGGUGGCGAAAGCGGCUCUCUGGUCCGGUACUGACGCUGAGGCGCGAAAGCGUGGGGAGCAAACAGGAUUAGAAACCCUAGUAGUCC
rnacentral:rRNA from 1 species